AAUUAAGAGAGAGAGAAGGCGAGUGUUCUAGAAGGAGAAGAAACUUUCAACCAAUCGCUGAUCUUGCUACGGUGACAGACACUUUUAUGAGCCAAUGGUAGCAGCGCAUUCAGUUCACACAGUGACGCUGCCAGCACGGACGAGCACAGAGUGAGAGCGAGCCAGAUGAGCAGCUGCACGGGUCGAUCUCAAGAAACUAAAAUAUUUAUUAAGAGGAAAAAGUUCAGAUUCAAAACAGUGAUUUAAAACAAAUUAUUGGAUUCCUGAAGUGAUGCGAUAACUUGGAAAAGCUGUCGCUAGAGUGAGGAGAGAGCAAAAUAGAGAAUUAGAACGGAGGCAGAUUCAGAAUCACAGAGCAUCAAAACACUGCGAAUGAACUUCUUCUUUUAAAUAAGAAGUUAAAAUGUAUGCUUUGGCUGGGUUUUUUUGUGAGAAUUUCGAACAUCUGUAAAGUUCUCCUGCUCCAUCUUGGACACGCGAGACAAUUAAGUGAAGGUGUAUACAAAAAGG